AUGUUGGAGAGGCAGGAUGGAAUCAGUGUUUGUGGAGGAAUUCAUUGAGGAGAUGGAUAUCCAGGAAGGGCCAGGAGUAGGACUUUGAUGACCCUUGUGGGUCCCAUCCAACUCAGGUUAUUCUACAAAUAUCUGAUUCUAAUUGAAGAAGCAUCCCCCAGACCUUGGACUCCAAGACUCCACUUGCCUGGGAGGCUCAAACACCACUCCAGUGACCAAGGAGGUCACAGCAAAGUUCAGGUGCUACAGCAAGGCCCCAGCUCUUCACCAGGCUCUCACCUUGCACUGGGGGUGACCCACAGUGCCCAGCCUGAGGCAGGGAUGCUGCUCCAGCUCUGCUGAACAACAAAGCCCAUGGACUGUGACUGUGGGCAGCUGGAACUCAGAGGCCAAAAAACUGGAAAGACUGGUCACAUCUGUCCAAUUAAACUCUCACAGCCUUCAAAAUAGGGUGGAUUAUUCCAAGCACUUGUAUUUGAGGGAAGAUCCAAUUGAUCCAGGGGAAAACAUAUGGAUGAUUAACAGAGUAAGUCAUUGAUCUCCUGUUCUUAGUAUUGUUUUAUGUCCCUUAGUUUAGAUUUUAACAUCACCUGUGCCUCCUUGGAGUGCUUUAGAAUCACAGAAUGUUUUUCUUAUUAAUUUCUCUAACUCAUAUUUCUCAGAGCUGUUACAAAACUUUGCACUUUGUCUGACUUAGGUGUUUAGCAACAAAAGGUUAUGCUCUCAAUAUCAUGAAAAAAUAAGUUUUUCACUUAAUUUCUAACUAGAAAGUAAAUAGAAUUUGGGCUAUUUUUAGCUGUACUCAAGUUACAAGCAAAAAUAUGUCUUUUGAGUGCAAAAUAUGAUGAGAUGCAAGUAUAAGGCAACCCUUUUUGCACAUAAAACAUAUAUUAAAGGAAAAAAUUAUUCACUGAAAUGAUGAAGCUUUCUAGUUUGCAAACCAAUCUGAAGAAGCUGAUUUAGAGACAUGGGCAAAGUCUUCAUUCACUGUAAUAUUUUCUAUGAAUUAACUUACAAUUAAAUAUAAUUGGUAAUUUAAUACAUGAUACGAGUUUCAAAAUGCCAUUGGAAUGCUUUCUAAGACCCAGUGGGUUUCCCACUCCAAGAUAUUAACAUACUUUUGGCAAUCCCACUGAUUUCAACCAAAUGCUUACAGUUUAUGAGAUGUAAAUUUAAUUGCUCUGCAUUAAUUUCUAGGCACUGGUCCUAAAAUCAGUCUCUCUCUCCCCCUCCCCUGCUCCCCCUCAAUCAAACAUAAAUCAGGACAUGUGCCAAGUCUUACUGACUUUCCUGCAAAUCCAUCUGUAUACCAGGAUCUGCCACUGAAAGAUGGUGCUUUAGCAUCUCUAGUUUGUAUGAGUUUGGCAAACUCAUGAGAAUAUGUUUUUCCAGUCUCUCCUUCUCAAAUAAAAAAAUAAAAAUGUGUAUCCUAAAUUAUUCAUUUGAUUGGAUAACCAUUAGCAAAAAAAAUCCCAAUUAUUUUUUAUUAUCCUUGAAAAAGACCUGAAAUAGAAUAAAGUCACUGUCAUUAACACUUGUAAAGCAUUAAUACAGAAAGGUUUCUUAGCAGCCAUUUGCAGAAGAGGAGUCAAUUAAACAAGGUGGUAAUUUUCCCACUCUGAAAAUAGGUGGUGAUAGAAACAUGAACCAAUAGAACUUACCAAGCUGAAUCUAUAUCCCAUUCAAUGUGUUUGACUGUCUCUCUGUCCCUUUCUCUAUGUACAAAUAAUUUACUAAGAUGCUGCUUUCUUGAUACAGGUGGCUUUUCUGGU